UGAGAAUUACUGGGUUAAAUUGUGGG
rnacentral:piRNA from 1 species